ensembl:misc_RNA
GGAAUCCAUUUGGGGUCGGUCAGUUCCGGAGCUGCUCCAAGUGGACACACAAAACCAAAAGCCGAAGUUGGAAAA